CAAAAUUGAGUGAAUUAAUUUGUUUACCUAUAUACCAUUAUUUAAAUAGUCAUAUAUGUAUGUAUGUUCAGUUCUUAUCCUACACCAAUUAUGUAGGAAUGUGUACUAAUUAAUGCAAAAUUUCAACGCAACCUUUUAUAAAGAUAAAACAAUUCACACUGAAAAAAUAUCAAGGCAUAACAUCUAUAUUGCAUCCGUAUCAAAAAGGAUUUUUUUUUUUAACAUGAAUAAAAACAGAAACCUAAAAAAAAUACUUUGCCACUAACCUUUAAGUCCUCCUUAUGUACUCCCACUAUAGUUAACUAUCAUUAUCAGUCAACUAUUAAAAAAUACAUAAUCUAGGUGACAGACAUGAAAAAAAUACUUUAUUCAGAUUUUUUUUUCUAUCUCAGAGUAAAAUUGACAAAGAGAAAAAAAAGGAAAGGUACCUGAAGCAACUAGAAUGAAAGCGAUUUCAUUCUUGCUUUGCUCCUUCGCCUCAACUUUAUCAUCUAGAGACACAAACGCGGGCUUUUCCAACGGAGACCUUUGAAGUAUGGAGGCAACUUGAACGAAAUGGCUAUUUUACAUUUGUCACAUUAUUAAUAACUUGAAAAAAGCACAACACCAAGCACGCAAAAUAGCAAAUUAAACCACGGUUGAACAGAUAAAAAAAUCAGGAGAACCGUAACACCCCAGAAAAAUCAUGGCUCUUACAAAAACGAAAAAAAAAAAACCCUUUUUCUAUGCCUUCCCUUCAUCUCCACCCUCAAAACGCCAAGCUUUUUCCUGUUUCCAAACCCAUCAACGUGAGAUAAAAACCAAAACUUUCGUCUUAACAUCAAAUCCAGCCACAUGCAACAAUUGAUAAUGGAGUCCUAAUAUACCAAUUAAUCGAAACAUGAAACUAGAUAACAUAUCUAUAGGAGUCGGAGAUAAGACUAUACGAUGUUUGGCUUUUCCAGUAGAGACCUUCGAAGUAUGGAGGCAACUUGAAUGAAAUGGCUACUUUACAUUUGUCACAUUAUUAAUAACUUGAAAGAAAGCACAACACCAAGCACACAAAAUAGCAAAUCAAACUACGGUUUUGAACAGAUAAAAAAUCAGGGAACUAUAACACCCUUUGUUUGAUGCCUUCCCUUCAUCUCCACUCCAAAACGCCAUCUUUGCAAACUUUUCCUUUUUCCCAAACCCAUCAACGUGAGAUAAAGACCAAAACUUUCAUCGUUAACAUCGAAUCCAGCACAUGCAACAAUUGAUAAUGGAGCAUCAAUAUGCCAAUUAAUCAAAACAUGAAACUAGAUAACAUACCUAUAAGAGUCGGAGACAAGGCUAUGCGAUGCUCCGAUGACGAAGCUGCUGGGUUUCCUCCUCUCGUUUUUCUCGGUUUUGGGCUUAUGUUUCGAAUGAAAUGGGGAGAAAAGUUUUGAUCUUUCACUCGAGUUAAUUUGAUAGUAUUUUUGGAUGUUAAUCUACUAGACAAAAAUUAUAUUUUAAUUGAUAUAAAUGUAGAUGAGAGAGGUUAGGGAUUUGAUUUAGAAAAAACGGAAAUGAAUUUUGGAAAUGAAAUUAAUUACUACAAGUAUGGAGAAAAAGGUUGAGUGAUAAGUAUGUUAUUGAUAAGCAG
rnacentral:lncRNA from 1 species